rnacentral:snRNA from 14 species
GGUGCCGCUUCGGUCAGCCACUAUAAUAAGGAAUUGUAACAUACAGUAGAAGAUUAGCAUGCCCUCCAAGAUCGACACGCAAAUUCUGGAAGCAUUUCAUAUUUUU